GUGCUUGCUUCAGCAGCGCAUAUACUAAAAUUGGAAUGAUACAGAGAAGAUUAGCACUGCCCCUGUGUGAGGAUUGCAGGAAAUUCGUGAGGUGUUCCAUAUUUUU
rnacentral:snRNA from 1 species